UACCAGCUCUCCGAGUUGUAGGGAUGAUUAUUGGGCUUAAAGCGUCCGUAGCUGGCUUAGCAAGUCUCCUGUUAAAUUCAGCGACCUAAUCGUUGAGCCGCGGGAGAUACUACUAGGCUAGGAGGCGGGGAGAGGUCGACGGUACUUUCGGGGUAGGGGUGAAAUCCUAUAAUCCCGGGAGGACCACCAGUGGCGAAGGCUGUCGACUAGAACGCGCUCGACGGUGAGGGACGAAAGCUGGGGGGAGCGAACCGGAUUAGAUACCCGGGUAGUCCCAGCUGUAAACUAUGCGGGCUAGGUGUUGGGGUGGCUACGGGCCACUUCAGUGCCGCAGGAAAGCCAUUAAGCCCGCCGCCUGGGGAGUACGGCCGCAAGGCUGAAACUUAAAGGAAUUGGCGGGGGAGCACCACAAGGCGUGAAGCUUGCGGUUC
rnacentral:rRNA from 1 species